GUGCGCCCGUUGAAGGUCACAGACACACAGGCAGUGAAACGUUGUUGUGCUUGUCAUGGCGGCUGUUGGCAUUUCUGCCUGAGUCUAGAGAGAUCUGACGCCGUUUCUCCGCUAGUAGUUGACAUUUUGCGCCGACACUUUGGUCUCCCUCAGGUCCCCCUCAUCCCACCUCCCUUGCAAUAGACCACAGCAGCAGUUAAAUUAAGGCCCAAGAGGCAGACAUCCUGCAGCAGACUGAAAAUGCAGAAAACCAGUUGCAUGAAUGAAAUGAGAACAUGAAGACUGCUCCCUAAAAAAAAAUUGAAAAUUCUCAGCUGACCAUGUGUCGUGCAAUGACAGAAAUGUCAAGAUGAGGGUGAGGCAGAGGACAAGGACGCAGGAAAGGUGGUCCUGCCUGCAUCUACAGUCUGAUCAUCAGUCUUCAGCCCUAUCUGUGUUGCCAGUGUGGACAUUGAUGCAAAGACUUCAGGCUCAGAAGAUGACAGACCGUCUAUCCAGCCAUCACACCGAGAGCUGAAGGGGUGAAAGCGGAGGCCAGUUGUGGACCAGCCUAUAAAGACAUCACAUUGGGUGAGUCACAGUCAAACUGAUGACAGUGUGGUGUUUGCUAUUGAUUACAGUGAAGCCAAGGUUAAUGUGUAUAAAAAAUGAAGUUCCUACAUUUACUAAGUAUGUCAUCAUGACUCACGUCAUUUGCACACAUACAAUGCAUACAUGGAGCCGACUUUAUGACUACAGAUACUUCUCACUGCACAGCACGUUUCAGUAGGCCCAGAUGAACAUUUUGAUGAAGCCU